rnacentral:rRNA from 1 species
AUUGAACGCUGGCGGCAUGCCUAACACAUGCAAGUCGAACGAGUGGCGGACGGGUGAGUAAUGUCUGGGAAACUUCCUGAUGGAGGGGGAUAACUACUGGAAACGGUAGCUAAUACCCAAUACCAUCGAAUGUGCCCAGAUGGGAUUAGCUAGUAGGUGGGGUAAAGGCUCACCUAGGCGACGAUCCCUAGCUGGACUGAGAGGAUGACCAGCCACACUGGAACGGAGACACGGUCCAGACUCCUACGGGAGGCAGCAGUGGGGAAUAUUGCACAAGGGGCGCAAGCCGGAUGCAGCCAUGCCGCGUGUAUGAAGAAGGCCUUCGGGUUGUAAAGUACUUUCAGCGGGGAGGCGUUACCCGCAGAAGAAGCACCGGCUAACUCCGUGCCAGCCGCCGCGGUAAUAC